GACGAACGCUGGCGGUGUGCUUAACACAUGCAAGUCGAACGGUAAGGCCCUUUCGGGGGUACACGAGUGGCGAACGGGUGAGUAACACGUGAGUAACCUGCCCUCAUCUCUGGGAUAACAGUCGGAAACGGUUGCUAAUACUGGAUAUGAGCUUGCAAGGCAUCUUGUGGGUUGGAAAGAUUUUUUUUGGUUGGGGAUGGACUCGCGGCCUAUCAGCUUGUUGGUGAGGUAGUGGCUCACCAAGGCUUCGACGGGUAGCCGGCCUGAGAGGGCGACCGGCCCAUUUGGGACUGAGAACCGGCCCAAACCCCUGCGGGGGGCAGCAGUGGGGAAUUUUGCACAAUGGACGGAAGUCUGAUGCAGCAACGCCGCGGGGGGGAUGACGGCCUUCGGGUUGUAAACCGCUUUCAAUUGUGACGAAGCUUUUUUGUGACGGUAGCAGUAGAAGAAGCACCGGCUAACUACGU
rnacentral:rRNA from 1 species